CGCUAUCUCCGCCCUUGCCUGAAAUUUUUCAUAUUAAGUGUACAUGUCAUAUAUAUAAUUUAAUUGUAAAAGAUGGUCUUGAGUUUUUUGAGCUUUAUAUUGAAAAAAAUCAUCUUGUCGUUGGUUUAUUCAAGAAAAUAAUCGUAGAUCGAGAAUUAGAGAAUUUAAAGUUAAAUGUCAAGAAAAUGGACUUACACCAAUUUUGAUGCCUG
rnacentral:lncRNA from 1 species